CCUGCCCCUAGAGGCAUUGCAAGUGUGGCUGUUGUGUCAUGUGUGCAUCAGUAGGUGGCAAAGAACAGAGAAGCUGUGUCAAUGCUCAGUGUUCUGAUCUAUGAAUAUCUGAAUGAUUAGUACCCUAACAUU